UGCUAGCAGCCCCGGUAAUACAUAGGGAUCUACCGUUAUUCGGAAUUACUGGGCGUAAAGCGAGCGUAGGCGCAUUUGUAAGUUGGAGGUGAAAUCCCAGAGCUUAACUCUGGAACUGCCUUCAAAACUACAUUUCUUGAGUUUGGUAGAGGAGAGUGGAAUUCCUAGUGUAGAGGUGAAAUUCGUAGAUAUUAGGAGGAACACCAGUGGCGAAGGCGACUCUCUGGGCCAAUACUGACGCUGAGGUUCGAAAGCAUGGGUAGCGAACAGGAUUAGAUA
rnacentral:rRNA from 1 species